rnacentral:tRNA from 1 species
GGAGAGGUACCCAAGAGGCUGAAGGGGCGGGUUUGCUAAACCUGUAGGUCGGGUCUUUUCCCGGCGCGAGGGUUCGAAUCCCUCCCUCUCCGCCA